rnacentral:misc_RNA from 1 species
AAGAAUGUUUUGAAGCGGAUCAUAUGGUUAUAACAUUAGAACAUGCUUUGGCCAUGAGAUCGGUUUUACCAAUAAGCUCUGAAAUUGCCGUUGGCUUUGAUUUUAUUAUGAACUAUGGCCCGUGGGAACCAAAGGGACCUGGCGAGGGAGAAGAACCAGAAGAAACAGAAAGAACUGGAGAGAAGGAAAGGAGCUAACGAAAAAGGGACAAACUGCGGCUUAAGCUUGGAGCAGAGAAAACAAAGGGACGCUGACGCGAUGCGUGAAAAACAGAAAAAGGCCAUGUCAAGCAAAGGAAGCGACACCAACUAAUUUACCAAUACCGUCACUAUUUGUUUGUUGUUGCUUCAUUUCAUCAGCCUUCUUCCUUCCUUGCCCAUUUUCACGUUGAAAAACAAACUGUAAUCACCAUUUUUAAAAAUAAAUUUAUAUUAUAAACAAUAGCAUAUUGUUUAUACUUAUCCUAA